AACGUGGGUAACCGUGCCCAUCAGAAGGGGAUAACACUUGGAAACAGGUGCUAAUACCGUAUAACACUAUUUUCCGCAUGGAAGAAAGUUGAAGGGCGCUUUUGCGUCACUGAUGGAUGGACCCGCGGUGCAUUAGCUAGUUGGUGAGGUAACGGCUCACCAAGGCAACGAUGCAUAGCCGACCUGAGAGGGUGAUCGGCCACACUGGGACUGAGACACGGCCCAG
rnacentral:rRNA from 1 species